GACGAACGCUGGCGGCGUGCUUAACACAUGCUAGUCGAACGGUGAAGCUCCAGCUUGCUGGAGUGGAUCAGUGGCGAACGGGUGAGUAACACGUGAGCAACCUGCCCCUGACUCUGGAAUAAGCGCUGGAAACGGCGUCUAAUACUGGAUAUGAGAAGGGUCCGCAUGGACACUUUCUGGAAAGUUUUUCGGUUGGGGAUGGGCUCGCGGCCUAUCAGCUUGUUGGUGAGGUAAUGGCUCACCAAGGCGACGACGGGUAGCCGGCCUGAGAGGGCGACCGGCCACACUGGGACUGAGACACGGCCCAGACUCCUACGGGAGGCAGCAGUGGGGAAUAUUGCACAAUGGGCGAAAGCCUGAUGCAGCGACGCCGCGUGAGGGAUGACGGCCUUCGGGUUGUAAACCUCUUUCAGCAGGGAAGAAGCGAAAGUGACGGUACCUGCAGAAGAAGCACCGGCUAACUACGUG
rnacentral:rRNA from 1 species